rnacentral:rRNA from 1 species
UACGUAGGGGGGCUAGCGUUGUCCGGAAUCAUUGGGCGUAAAGCGCGUGUAGGCGGUCCGGUAAGUCCGCUGUGAAAGUCGGGGGGUCAACCCCUCGAAUGCCGGUGGAUACUGUCGGGCUAGAGUGCGGAAGAGGCGAGUGGAAUCCUGGUGUAGCGGUGAAAUGCGCAGAUAUCAGGAGGAACACCAAUUGGCGAAGGCAGCUCGCUGGGACGUUACUGACGCUGGAGACGCGAAAGCGUGGGGAGCAAACAGG